UAGCAUCUUAUAUUUUAAAACAUUAAUAUUUAAAAUAUAAAUACAUUUCCUUGGCCUUAAUGUAUUAAGACUAAUUUAAUUUAAUAUAAGCCUUUUGUGGAUAAAAUAUUUACUCUGAAUUAAUAUCUGGCUGAAUCUAUUGCCAUGGUAGAGGUGAUGUAUUAUGUCACUUGGGAGGCUUUCAAACCUCAAGUAUUGUAGACUCAAGUUAAGUACUGAGUUCUGUGUAAUCUUACUUAGUUCUGCCACUUAUAGAUUGGACCCCUAAUCCUAGCUGGCUAAUUAAACUGACAGGGACUGCAAAUCCAAUCUCGGCUAAAGCCAAUGUGUCUCUGAGAGAUGGGAAAAUGCCAGAAAUUAUUUAGAACCUUGACAGUCUGGAUUCAAACCUGAGCAUGGGACAGAAACUACAUUAAUUACUCAUUGUUGACCUAUGGAGGGGCUUGGAUGGAAGUGGUAUGAUCAUCCCCCUAGAUGUUUUUUCAGCUGCUUUUAAUACUGUUGACUACAGGCAGCCUUUGGAUUAUGACCAUUUGUUCAGCAACUGUUCAAAGUCAUGUUAGUGCUGAACAAGUAGUACUUGAAACCAGUCCUCGAAGUUCCAGCCAUUGCAACACCCCUGAGGUCAUAUCAUGAUUUGGAUGCUUGGCAAUCAGCUCACACAAUAGUUGCAGCGUCCCACGAUCAGGAUGGCCAUUUGCAACCUUUCCUGUUGGCUUCCCACAAGCAAAAUCAAUGGAAAAUCCAGUAGGGUUGCUUAUCUCUGAGAUCACCAGUUGGCUUUUGGCUGAAGUUAAUGUUUUGAAACUAAAAACACUUAUUGUGGUAACCAUUAUUUGACAGUCCACAACACACUUGAUAUUUCACACUCCCAAACAUGUAAAAUGUACUGAGCUUUUAAAAAAAGAAUGAAAAGGUAGACAAUUCUAGCCCAAUUCACUUAAAGCAGUACUCACUCUUCUAUUGAAUUUUAAAACCUAUUGCUCAAAGAUCUUGUUGCUCAUUUCCUCCUUCUCUUUCCUAUCUAUUGAAAAAAAAAUAGUGAACAUGAACUUUGGCUAUAGUUUUUGGCAAAUUUGGUUGGUGUUAAUAAUCGUACACACUGAUAGCAGAACAUACAAAGGAUUGACAGGUUCUACCGUAGUAAGAAAACUCAAGGAGCACAGUGAGAAAAUGAGACUAAAAUUAAAGGCAACCGAACUAAUGAUUACAGGUACAACUUAGCUUAAAAUGUAUAAUGAAGAUAUCAAAGUAGUAAAUAUCUUCAGCCUUUUAGGAUCAGCUGUUAAUAAGGGAACAAGCUGUCAAGAAAUAUUCUCCAAACUAGCAGUUGGUAGAAAAUUCAGGAAGCCCUUGGAAAAGACAUUUAGAUGCUGUGAAUUGCAUCUAUACCUACAAAAAUCAUAUAAAUGCAAGCAUAAUAUUCCUUGUGACAUUCUAUGGAAGUAAAAGUUGGACUUCGAUGAAGCAAGGUAGAAAGACUAUUAAUGCUUUUGGUGUUGAGAAGAUUUCUAAAUAUUAUAUACAGCUAAGGAAACAAACUGAUGGAUCGUAGAAAAAAAUCAACUCAGAGUUCUCACUCAAAAUACGAAUGAUCAGGGUCAAAUUAUCAUACUUUGGAUACAUUAUGUGAAGCCCUAGUUCUCUGGAGAAGCCUCUGAGGCAGUGAAAGGUGGAAGAAAAGAGAAAAAGAAGAGGACCAACAGUAUGAUGGAUGAACUUAAUUACCCUGAUGAUGAAUGAAUGAACCAUUAACCUGAAGGACUGAGUUAGAGACAGAACGUGAUGGAGAAAAUCUGUGUGGUUGCUGAAAAUUGACACCAAACUUGAUGGCACAUAAUCAACCAAUCACUAAUGGUAGUGCUUGAAUAACCUGGUGUUCUCUGAAUAUAUGGAACAUAACUCCCAUCAUCACUAGACAACAUGAAAAUGCCGGGAUUUACAGUUCCCCAUAUAUGAAGGUCCUUAGAUUGGGAUAAAAUGCUUUAGUUAAUCUGUAAUUGUGAAUGGAUUUCAAUUUCAUUCAUGCUUUUUAAAAUGAUGUGACUCACUUUGUAAAAUAACAGAAAAUGUUUUGUUUACAAGUGUCAAUUACGAUAUGAUAAUAUUUUCUACAUCACAUAAGUUUUAGUUUAUGCAAAAUAAAUGCUAGUAUGUUAGCCUUUAAUUGCUUCUACUCCUGCUCCUACUAACAUGCGGAAAGGAUGUUAUAUAUAGAUCAUAAUAUUUUAAACCUGCAAGUCUGACAUUCUGGCAUUCAUUUGUAAAAAGGUCUCUGGCUUCAUUUUGGAAUUGUCU